UACGUAGGGUGCGAGCGUUAAUCGGAAUUACUGGGCGUAAAGCGUGCGCAGGCGGUUCGCUGUGUCCGAUGUGAAAGCCCCGGGCUUAACCUGGGAAUGGCAUUGGAAACUGGCGGGCUUGAGUGCGGCAGAGGGGGGUGGAAUUCCGCGUGUAGCAGUGAAAUGCGUAGAUAUUGGGAAGAACACCGGUGGCGAAGGCGGCUAUCUGGACUGUGAUUGACGCUGAGGCGCGAAAGCGUGGGGAGCAAACAGG
rnacentral:rRNA from 1 species